AUUGAACGCUGGCGGCAUGCCUUACACAUGCAAGUCGAACGGCAGCACGGGAGCAAUCCUGGUGGCGAGUGGCGAACGGGUGAGUAAUACAUCGGAACGUGCCCAAUCGUGGGGGAUAACGUAGCGAAAGCUACGCUAAUACCGCAUACGAUCUACGGAUGAAAGCGGGGGAUCGCAAGACCUCGCGCGAAUGGAGCGGCCGAUGGCAGAUUAGGUAGUUGGUGAGGUAAAGGCUCACCAAGCCUGCGAUCUGUAGCUGGUCUGAGAGGACGACCAGCCACACUGGGACUGAGACACGGCCCAGACUCCUACGGGAGGCAGCAGUGGGGAAUUUUGGACAAUGGGCGCAAGCCUGAUCCAGCAAUGCCGCGUGCAGGAUGAAGGCCUUCGGGUUGUAAACUGCUUUUGUACGGAACGAAACGGUCCUUUCUAAUACAAGGGGCUAAUGACGGUACCGUAAGAAUAAGCACCGGCUAACUACGUGCCAGCCGCCGCCGUAA
rnacentral:rRNA from 1 species